rnacentral:rRNA from 1 species
CCUACGGGGUGCUGCAGUGGGGAAUAUUGGACAAUGGGGGGAACCCUGAUCCAGCCAUGCCGCGUGUGUGAAGAAGGCCCUCGGGUUGUAAAGCACUUUCAGUGAGGAAGAACGCCUGGUGGUGAAUACCCAUCAGGAAAGACAUCACUCACAGAAGAAGCACCGGCUAACUCCGUGCCAGCAGCCGCGGUAAUACGGAGGGUGCGAGCGUUAAUCGGAAUUACUGGGCGUAAAGCGCGCGUAGGUGGCUUGAUAAGCCGGUUGUGAAAGCCCCGGGCUCAACCUGGGAACGGCAUCCGGAACUGUCAAGCUAGAGUGCAGGAGAGGAAGGUAGAAUUCCCGGUGUAGCGGUGAAAUGCGUAGAGAUCGGGAGGAAUACCAGUGGCGAAGGCGGCCUUCUGGACUGACACUGACACUGAGGUGCGAAAGCGUGGGUAGCAAACAGGAUUAGAUACCCCUGUAGUC